CUGAAGUGCAGGUUCACAAAACUCUGUGACAAAGGGCGUAUUUCGGAGACGUUAGAAGUGCUACAGAAGCAGACGGGAAAGAAAAACCAAUGGCCUUUCGGUCGCAUUGGGAAGCCAGAGUUGGCACAGAGGGACGGAGCAGACCUUCAGGGUCCGAGCUGUGGACUGCGGGAGCCCAAGCUGCUCUUCCCGCCAGGAGCGCCAAAGCAAGACGCCUGUGGGAAACGGGACAGGAAUCUCAGAGAAUUCCUCUCAGAGUGCACUCUACGUGGGUGACUGAAGUGGCUAAUGGCUUGAUGCUCACAGAACUGAAAUGGCAGAAGAAAAGGAGAGGAAAUGUUAUGGCGCUGUUUUCGUGGGGAGGAUGUGGACUCUGGUGAAAGAGGCAGACUGUGGCUUGACUGGAGAGUGUUGGAGGAAGUAUGUUGUAAGUAAGAAAUACCGUAUUUAUAUAUGUGGAAUAUAUACGUA